rnacentral:rRNA from 1 species
AUUGAACGCUGGCGGCAUGCCUUACACAUGCAAGUCGAACGGUAACAGGUCUUCGGAUGCUGACGAGUGGCGAACGGGUGAGUAAUACAUCGGAACGUGCCUAGUAGUGGGGGAUAACUACUCGAAAGAGUGGCUAAUACCGCAUGAGAUCUACGGAUGAAAGCAGGGGAUCGCAAAACCUUGUGCUACUAGAGCGGCCGAUGGCAGAUUAGGUAGUUGGUGGGAUAAAAGCUUACCAAGCCGACGAUCUGUAGCUGGUCUGAGAGGACGAUCAGCCACACUGGGACAGAGACACGGCCCAGACUCCUACGGGAGGCAGCAGUGGGGAAUUUUGGACAAUGGGCGCAAGCCUGAUCCAGCAAUGCCGCGUGCAGGAUGAAGGCCUUCGGGUUGUAAACUGCUUUUGUACGGAACGAAAAGCCCUGGGUUAAUACCCUGGGGUCAUGACGGUACCGUAAGAAUAAGCACCGGCUAACUACGUGCCAGCCGCCGCGGUAAGAC